CCCAUUCUUAAAAAGAAAUGAUACAGCACUGAAUCAGAUUAAUCCACACAGGUCUGAUGAAUUAAUUAGAUUAGGUGAAUGUUCAGUAAUGCUCUUCAAAUGUUUACCCUCUUUCAGGAAUAUUUGCAGAAGUGGAAGAAAAAUUGUUUUCUAUUCAAGAGUAUUGUGGGUCAAGGAUCAGUGAAGAGGAGUACACUUGCAAGUGAUCAUUUCAAAGAAAGAAGAAAAACUCUGUUCCCCUGA
rnacentral:lncRNA from 1 species